ensembl:lncRNA
UUCAGUUUCUGAGAGAUCCUCCAGUUUCCUCUGACAUGCCUGUAAGCUGAGAUUUCAGCUCUUUUGGGAGAACCCAUCAUUCUGUUCCUUGUUGGCAGAAGGAUUUGUCACACAACAAGGGACACGGCUGGGCCCUGGAAGACAAACUGGGUGGAGAGACAAAGGCAGAACUGGCUCUAGAGAGUGGACGCUUUCUGGUGACAAAGUUGAGACUAAACGCAGAUGAACAUCAUUUACCCCCUUGUGAUAUGAGCAAAAAGGGUUUCCUUGCUUGGCCUGGAACACCGAAUGGACUUGCCAGUGAAAGAAAGCCUUGCACUUGCCAGAACGCUUUCAGAUCAAGUCAUCUUUGCCAGCCAGAGCAGUCUCUUCUUGUCUGCUUCCAAGAGGCAUGAGCUUAAACAACUGGUCUCAGAGUGGGGUGUAUCUACAGUCUUAACCACGAAGAGAGGUGAUGAAAUGUUCUCCUCUUCAGUCUAUACAGAAGAGACUGGAGCUAAGCUGCUAUCUUCAUAACAGUAAAACUGCAGUUCAAUCUGAAUUCUUUGUUCAUGUUUCAUUGCUUCUUUUGAGGAAAACAGUGAUCGUGAGAUCAGACAUCAGCCUCAGGGUGAGAUGGAGCAGGAGCAACUCCGAAGAGCCUGCAGGUUCCCAUGAAACACAAACUGCCCUGAAGAACCUAGUCUUUAGGGUGGAAAUAGUGACACGAAGUGGCGGCGAAUCCCACCGGGCUUUUGGUUCACAAGUCGCAGCUCUGCCUGCCGUGUGCCAGACAAGAGGAAACCCAGCAACCUGUUGGGAACCUCGGCCGCUCGGGGCGGAAAGGAGAGGAGGAGAAGCCUCCCGCUGCAUUGUCUGGGGCGCUGCCUCCGUUUCCGCCGGCUGAGCUCCAGCCCUUGUUUUGCAGCACGCCGCGUGGAGUUUUAUCACCUUCAACAAUGAAAUCUGUCACCUUCAAGCUGCUUUAUUGUAAUCUGGGGACUUUCGCCCUGUCCGCUGUAACCCUGCUCCGGGCUCCUACCCCGCAGGGCUGCAUUCCCCACCACGCCAUCGCUAACAUCUAUCGAUUAGGCUCCUUGCUGAAACCAACGGUGUUAACUUUAGGGGCCGCAUUUGUACUUGUUUUCUCGCCGGGAUCAGAUAGUUAAUUGAUCUUCCUCGUCCUCUUUGCCUUGCUUCUGUCUUGCGUGCCUCUGAAGCCUCUUAUUCCGAUGGCUGCCUCACCUUCCCCUCCCCGCCCCCCUCCAAUGUGGAGGAUAAAAGCCGAUCAGACAUGCAGUACAGGCAGUAUUCAGCAGGUUUCCUGAUCUGAUAUUUGAAAGAAUGCAAGGUACAAAUACAGGUUUUGAACUAUGAGACCUUCCUGUUGCAUCGGUUACACACGUCUGAAUCAGAUUAACCGGCAUAUCUCAUCUCUGAAAAAAACAAUUUAAUGAUUAAACUCAGGGAAGGGUACUUCUUCAGCAGAUACAGCUUGGAUGUUACCACUCUUGGAGUGUGUUGUGUGCGGUUUUUUCCUGGUUUGCAAACAAUUUUCGCUUGCUGUUUUUCUAUGGCUUUUAUUGUAGAUGCAUUUUUAUUUUAGGGGUUAAGUCAUUUUCAUUUGAAAUGCACUUAUGUACAUUUGCAUACACAUUUAUACAGGCUAAUUAAAAACUUACCAUCAGAGUUGCUUUUCUGCUUACAAACGCUCUGCAGCAAAAUGGUUGUUGCUUUUUGGAAAUUGGAGCUUUUUGUAAAAUCAUUUGGUCAAAUCUUUGGGGUUUAGAUGUUCAAUGAAUAAUCAAUAUAUGCAGCAGAAGAUUUAAGCAAAAAGGGUUUUUCACGGAAGUUUUCCAUAGGAAAAAAUCUAUAACAUGUAUUAUUAAAUAUAGAGAGGCUUAUAU